AAUUAUAUUAACUUCUAGAUUAUAACUAUACAAGGGUGUUAUUUGGAGAGAUUGUUACCCUGGUACCACUGUGUUAGAAUGUAAAUCUCUUCUCUUUAAGCUGCCUCAUCACUGAUGAUGAUCAACUGUGGUGUCAUCAGAAAAUUUAAAGAUUUUUUCUUUUUUAAGUAAAGCAGUCAUAAAUGAACAAGUACAGCAGUGGGUUCCAAACUCUGCUCUGUGGAGUGAAUGUGUUGAAGAUCAGCAUAGAGGAGGUGGGUCUGCCAGUUAUAAAGUCUAAAAUCCAAUAGUAGAAGGUUAGUUUAAUUUCAAAGCCUAGGAGGUUUGUGGUCACCUUUACUGCUACAACAGUGGCAAAGGCUGCUCUGUAGUCUAUGAACAGGACUCUGGCAUAGCAUUUUUAUUUUCUCAGUGUGCCAUGAUGAUAUAAAUUGCAAGGGCUGUGACAUCUUUCCUGGACCAAUUGUGUUGUUAUGCAAACUGGAGUUGGCUGAAAUCAUCAGGAAAGCUUGCUACCAUGAUCAAAGCAAGCGUAGAAAGGGUAAGCUCAUCCAGGAGAGACAAUGUGGGUGCAAUUGGAAUAUUCACAGUGCUGCUUUUAGUAUGUGGAGUGGUGUAAUUUGUAAAACUUCCUUAAAAAGUAAAACAGGCAAUACUUGAUCAUUAAAUAUUCCAAGUAAGGUAAAGCAGUUUUCUGAAGCUUAUUAUAGGUUUAUAAAAAUAAA